rfam:Oryza sativa Japonica Group DNA, chromosome 7, cultivar: Nipponbare, complete sequence.
AUAUUCUUAGGCCCAAUCUUGAGGCAAAAACUGAGUAGUUGGUGAACUCGCUCUAUCUUGUUCGUUCACUCGCUACACGGUUCCUGCCCUAAGAUCGAGUCUAUGAAUAU